rnacentral:rRNA from 1 species
UACAGAGGUCCCAAGCGUUGUUCGGAUUCACUGGGCGUAAAGGGUGCGUAGGUGGUGAGGAAAGUCUGAUGUGAAAGCUCGGAGCUUAACUCCGAAAUGGCAUUGGAAACUACCUUGCUGGAGGGUUGGAGGGGGGACUGGAAUACUUGGUGUAGCAGUGAAAUGCGUAGAUAUCAAGUGGAACACCAGUGGCGAAGGCGAGUCCCUGGACAACACCUGACACUGAGGCACGAAAGCUAGGGGAGCAAACGGG